rnacentral:rRNA from 1 species
GACGAACGCUGGCGGCGUGCCUAAUACAUGCAAGUUGAGCGAUGAAGAUUGGUGCUUGCACCAAUUUGAAGAGCAGCGAACGGGUGAGUAACGCGUGGGGAAUCUGCCUUUGAGCGGGGGACAACAUUUGGAAACGAAUGCUAAUACCGCAUAACAACUUUAAACAUAAGUUUUAUGUUUGAAAGAUGCAAUUGCAUCACUCAAAGAUGAUCCCGCGUUUUAUUAGCUAGUUGGUGAGGUAAAGGCUCACCAAGGCGAUGAUACAUAGCCGACCUGAGAGGGUUGUCGGCCAAAAUUGGACUGGGACACGGCCCAAACUCCUACGGGAGGCAGCAGGAGGGAAUUUUCGGAAAUGGAGGAAAGGCUUACCGAGCAACGCCGCGUGAGGGAAGAAGGUUCUCGGAUCGUAAAACUCUGUUGGUAGAGAAGAACGUUGGUUAGAGUGGAAAGCUCAUCAAGUGACGGUAACUACCCAGAAAGGGACGGCUAACUACGUG